UACGGAGGAUGCAAGCGUUAUCUGGAUUCAUUGGGUUUAAAGGGUGCGUAGGCGGACUAUUAAGUCAGUGGUGAAAGCCUGCAGCUUAACUGCAGAACUGCCAUUGAUACUGAUAGUCUUGAGUUUGGUUAAGGUAGGCGGAAUGUGUAAUGUAGCGGUGAAAUGCUUAGAUAUUGCACAGAACACCGAUUGCGAAGGCAGCUUACCAAGCUAUUAUUGACGCUGAGGCACGAAAGCGUGGGGAUCGAA
rnacentral:rRNA from 1 species